CAAGUCGAGCGAAUGGAUUAAGAGCUUGCUCUUAUGAAGUUAGCGGCGGACGGGUGAGUAACACGUGGGUAACCUGCCCAUAAGACUGGGAUAACUCCGGGAAACCGGGGCUAAUACCGGAUAACAUUUUGAACCGCAUGGUUCGAAAUUGAAAGGCGGCUUCGGCUGUCACUUAUGGAUGGACCCGCGUCGCAUUAGCUAGUUGGUGAGGUAACGGCUCACCAAGGCAACGAUGCGUAGCCGACCUGAGAGGGUGAUCGGCCACACUGGGACUGAGACACGGCCCAGACUCCUACGGGAGGCAGCAGUAGGGAAUCUUCCGCAAUGGACGAAAGUCUGACGGAGCAACGCCGCGUGAGUGAUGAAGGCUUUCGGGUCGUAAAACUCUGUUGUUAGGGAAGAACAAGUGCUAGUUGAAUAAGCUGGCACCUUGACGGUACCUAACCAGAAAGCCACGGCUAACUACGUGCCAGCAGC
rnacentral:rRNA from 1 species